UCUUUUUCUCAGCCUUUUGGCUAGGAUCAAGUGUGGUAUCCGCUCUUAUCAGUUUAAUAUCAGAUUCGUCCUCUAUCGGGGGAUCUUAUAUUCAAUGGAUAUUUUGAACAGGGAGAUGGAAGAAGAACUUGCUCUAUUCACUCCACGCUUUGGCCUUGUAUUCUGUUCCUCAAGGAGCGGUAUUCCCUUC